rnacentral:rRNA from 1 species
AGUCGAACGGAAAGGCCCUUCGGGGUACUCGAGUGGCGAACGGGUGAGUAACACGUGGGUGAUCUGCCCUGCACUUUGGGAUAAGCCUGGGAAACUGGGUCUAAUACCGGAUAGGACCACGCGCUUCAUGGUGUGUGGUGGAAAGCUUUUGCGGUGUGGGAUGGGCCCGCGGCCUAUCAGCUUGUUGGUGGGGUAAUGGCCUACCAAGGCGACGACGGGUAGCCGGCCUGAGAGGGUGACCGGCCACACUGGGACUGAGAUACGGCCCAGACUCCUACGGGAGGCAGCAGUGGGGAAUAUUGCACAAUGGGCGCAAGCCUGAUGCAGCGACGCCGCGUGAGGGAUGACGGCCUUCGGGUUGUAAACCUCUUUCAAUAGGGACGAAGCGCAAGUGACGGUACCUAUAGAAGAAGGACCGGCCAACUACGUGCCAGCAGCCGCGGUAAUACGUAGGGUCCGAGCGUUGUCCGGAAUUACUGGGCGUAAAGAGCUCGUAGGUGGUUUGUCGCGUUGUUCGUGAAAACUCACAGCUUAACUGUGGGCGUGCGGGCGAUACGGGCAGACUAGAGUACUGCAGGGGAGACUGGAAUUCCUGGUGUAGCGGUGGAAUGCGCAGAUAUCAGGAGGAACACCGGUGGCGAAGGCGGGUCUCUGGGCAGUAACUGACGCUGAGGAGCGAAAGCGUGGGGAGCGAACAGGAUUAGAUACCCUGGUAGUCCACGCCGUAAACGGUGGGUACUAGGUGUGGGUUUCCUUCCUUGGGAUCCGUGCCGUAGCUAACGCAUUAAGUACCCCGCCUGGGGAGUACGGCCGCAAGGCUAAAACUCAAAGGAAUUGACGGGGGCCCGCACAAGCGGCGGAGCAUGUGGAUUAAUUCGAUGCAACGCGAAGAACCUUACCUGGGUUUGACAUGCACAGGACGCCGGCAGAGAUGUCGGUUCCCUUGUGGCCUGUGUGCAGGUGGUGCAUGGCUGUCGUCAGCUCGUGUCGUGAGAUGUUGGGUUAAGUCCCGCAACGAGCGCAACCCUUGUCUCAUGUUGCCAGCACGUUAUGGUGGGGACUCGUGAGAGACUGCCGGGGUCAACUCGGAGGAAGGUGGGGAUGACGUCAAGUCAUCAUGCCCCUUAUGUCCAGGGCUUCACACAUGCUACAAUGGCCGGUACAAAGGGCUGCGAUGCCGUGAGGUGGAGCGAAUCCUUUCAAAGCCGGUCUCAGUUCGGAUCGGGGUCUGCAACUCGACCCCGUGAAGUCGGAGUCGCUAGUAAUCGCAGAUCAGCAACGCUGCGGUGAAUACGUUCCCGGGCCUUGUACACACCGCCCGUCACGUCAUGAAAGUCGGUAACACCCGAAGCCGGUGGCCUAACCCUUGUGGAGGGAGC